rnacentral:rRNA from 1 species
CCGGUUGAUCCUGCCGAAGGCUACUGCUAUUGGAGUUCGAUUAAGCCAUGCGAGUCUAAGGGAUACUUGUAUCCCUGGCAUAAUGCUCAGUAACACGUGGAUAAUCUGCCCUCAGGUGAGGAAUAAACCCGGGAAACUGGGGCUAAUACCUCAUAGACACAGAAAGCUGGAAUGCUUCUGUGUUCAAAGCUCCGGCGCCUGAGGAUGAGUCUGCGGCCUAUCAGGUUGUAGUCAGGGUCAUGACCUGACUAGCCAACGACGGGUACGGGGUGUGAGAGCACUUGCCCGGAGAUGGUUUCUGAGACACGAAACCAGGCCCUACGGGGCGCAGCAGGCGCGAAAACUUCGCAAUGCGGGAAACCGUGACGAGGGAACUCCAAGUGUCUAUGCAUUGCAUAGACUGUUUUUUAGCCUAAAUAGCUAAAAGAGUAAGAGGUGGGCAAGACCGGUGCCAGCCGCCGCGGUAACACCGGCACCUCGAGUGGUAGCCACUAUUAUUGGGCCUAAAGCGUUCGUAGCCGGUUUGGUAAAUUCUUGGGUAAAUCGUACAGCUUAACUGUGCGGAUUCCGGGGACACUACCAGACUUGAGACCGGGAGAGAUCAGAGGUACUUGUAGGGGAGCGGUGAAAUGUUGUAAUCCUACAGGGACCACCAGUGGCGAAGGCGUCUGAUCAUAACGGCUUUGACGGUGAGGAACGAAACCCUGGGGCGCAAACGGGAUUAGAUACCCCGGUAGUCCAGGGCGUAAACGCUGCUGACUUGGUGUUGGAGAUCCUACGAGGGUGUCCAGUGCUGGCGCGAAGGCAUUUAGUCAGCCGCCUGGGGAGUACGGUCGCAAGGCUGAAACUUAAAGGAAUUGGCGGGGGAGCACUGCAACGGGAGGAGCGUGCGGUUUAAUUGGAUUCAACGCCGGG